GAUGAACGCUGGCGGCGUGCCUAAUACAUGCAAGUCGAGCGAACAGACGAGGAGCUUGCUCCUCUCACGUUAGUGGCGGACGGGUGAGUCACCCGUGGAUACCCUACCUAUAAGACUGGGAUAACUUCGGGAAACCGGAGCUAGCACCGGAUCAUAUAUUGAACCGCAUGGUUCAAUAGUGCAAGCCGGUUUUGAUGUGACUUAUAGAUGGAUCCGCGCCGCAUUAGCUAGUUGGUAAGGUAACGGCUUACCAAGGCGACGAUGCGUAGCCGACCUGAGAGGGGGAUCGGCCACACUGGAACUGAGACACGGUCCAGACUCCUACGGGAGGCAGCAGUAGGGAAUCUUCCGCAAUGGGCGAAAGCCUGACGGAGCAACGCCGCGUGAGUGAUGAAGGUCUUCGGGUCGUAAAACGCUGUUGUUAGGGAAGAACAAAUGUGUAAGUAACUAUGCGCGGGUUGACGGUACCGGAUCAGAAAGCCACGGCUAACUACGUG
rnacentral:rRNA from 1 species